UUUUUACGGAGAGUUUGAUCCUGGCUCAGGAUGAACGCUGGCGGCGUGCUUAACACAUGCAAGUCGAACGGUGAA
rnacentral:rRNA from 1 species